CAUCUGUGUUCACUUGAACUGACUUCAGAUGUCCAAUGCUGCGCUAGUAUUGUGGGAGUUUGGGCGUCGGUGUUGUGACGAAUGGUUCCUUUUGAUCGUCAUUUGGCCCAUCACGCAAACUGAUCAGUGAUAGCCUGAUAGGAUCACGAACUGCAUAUGGCUUUGCAUCGGUUGUAUGCCCUAUUUUGGGGACCCCUUUCACCAACCUCUUGAAAUAUAUGCCCAUGGUCAUGUUGCCCGGUGGUUGCUUGGUCUUUGGUUUGCAAUUGGGCGAUAUGAACAAUGAAUGGAAAAGUAGGCGCAUCAUACCCUCGUUAGUCGUCGAGUUGCAUUACUAGGCGCUUUUCUAUCGUUCGGAUCAUCAGUGGACGGCAAUCGGAACACCUCCGCAGAGGGUUGCUACUAUGUUGUACUACGGCGUGUGUACUGCACUUCUUAUUCGAUACUGCACUUCUUAUUCGACAUUCUCCCUCUUCUCUUCUCUGGGGCAGUUCUCAUGCAGCCAGUGAACAAAGACGAACCAUUUACCAUCGUUCGAUCCCUACAAGUAUCAAAGGCAUUAUUCGCCUCUGUCUCCUGCUGCUGAGACCCGUUUAUCCUAUCCUGUAAUUCUUGAGUUCCAGGCUCUUCACCGCAGACCAGUUCAAUGUACGGAGUACUGGCUACCAAUUCAUACUCGAUCAGUCGAUCUGUUUCGCUAUACCAGGGUCCGUAGUUUGUCAAAGCUCCGCCCCACUUGAAGCACUUGAAGAGACCCCCGUUGGUACUGCGACAAUAACGCAUUCACAAACGCAGAGAUCAUGCUAUCAAUGAUGAGUAAUUGUCAACUAGCAAACUCAAAGCAGUCCAGACCUAUGUUUUGUGCGUAGUUUCGACGGACAACAUAUAUGACACGUCAAUGAAUGGUAAAAAUACCGACAGGGCUGUCAAGAAAACCCAUCCGCACUAUUCAUUGAAAUGAACUGAGAAAUUGUUCAAGCUGAAUCUCUUAUUCAUAAUAAACACCAUAAACUGGCAGACCGCGUGGAUAUUUUUCCGAACACCACAAACUCAUGAAGUCUCAAGACAAGUUUGAUUGGCUUCUUUUCUAUGCGGGCGUUACCGAUUUGAGAUAUUUUAUUCAUAUUAUGACGGUCAUUCUUCGGGAACGAAGGGAGUAUCAUUUAGAAUUCUCCU
rnacentral:sRNA from 1 species